UCUCGAUCGCGUAAGAGUUAACGCAAAUUUGUAUGCAGUUCGAACGAUUGCCCACGUUUGCCGCUAGGGGCGCUGUUCCAACGGUAUACAAAUAUGAGAUAACUUUUACGCUAUCGA
rnacentral:pre_miRNA from 9 species